rnacentral:rRNA from 1 species
GAUGAACGCUGGCGGCGUGCCUAAUACAUGCAAGUCGAGCGAACAGACGAGGAGCUUGCUCUUCUGACGUUAGCGGCGGACGGGUGAGUUACACGUGGAUAACCUACCUAUAAGACUGUGAUCACUUCGGGAAACCGUAGCUAAUACCGGAUAAUUUAUUGAACCGCAUGGUUCAAUUGUGAAAUCCGGCUUUGCUGUUACUUAUAGAUUGAUCCGCGCCGCAUUAGCUAGUUGGUAUGGUAACGGCUUACCAAGGCGACGAUGCGUAGCCGACCUGAGAGGGUGAUCGGCCACACUGGAACUGAGACACGGUCCAGACUCCUACGGGAGGCAGCAGUAGGGAAUCUUCGGCAAAGGGCGAAAGCCUGACGGAGCAACGCCGCGUGAGUGAUGAAGGUCUUCGGAUCGUAAAGCUCUGUUAUUAGGGAAGAAAAAAUGGGUAAGUAACUAUGCACGUCAUGACGGUACCGAAUCAGAAAGCCACGGCUAACUACGUG